GACGAACGCUGGCGGCGUGCUUAACACAUGCAAGUCGAACGGAAAGGCCCUGCUUGCAGGGUGCUCGAGUGGCGAACGGGUGAGUAACACGUGGGUGAUCUGCCCCUUACUUUGGGAUAAGCCUGGGAAACUGGGUCUAAUACUGGAUAGGACCAUGCUGUAGGUGGUGUGGUGGAAAGAUUAGUUUCGGUAAGGGAUGAGCUCGCGGCCUAUCAGCUUGUUGGUGGGGUAAUGGCCUACCAAGGCGUCGACGGGUAGCCGGCCUGAGAGGGUGGACGGCCACAUUGGGACUGAGAUACGGACCAGACUCCUACGGGAGGCAGCAGUGGGGAAUAUUGCACAAUGGGCGCAAGCCUGAUGCAGCGACGCCGCGUGGGGGAUGACGGCCUUCGGGUUGUAAACUCCUUUCAGCCAUGACGAAGCCCUUGUGGCGACGGUAGUGGUAGAAGAAGCACCGGCUAACUACGUG
rnacentral:rRNA from 1 species